rnacentral:rRNA from 1 species
AUUGAACGCUGGCGGCAGGCCUAACACAUGCAAGUCGAGCGAGCGGCGGACGGGUGAGUAAUGUCUGGGGACUGCCCGAUAGAGGGGGAUAACUACUGGAAACGGUAGCUAAUACCGCAUACUAUCGGAUAACCCAGAUGGGAUUAGCUAGUAGGUGAGGUAAUGGCUCACCUAGGCGACGAUCCCUAGCUGGUCUGAGAGGAUGAUCGGCCACACUGGGACUGAGACACGGCCCAGACUCCUACGGAGGCAGCAGUGGGGAAUAUUGCGCAAUGGGCGCAAGUCUGACGCAGCAAUGCCGCGUGUGUGAAGAAGGUCCUAGGGUUGUAAAGCACUGUCAUUAGGGAGGCGUUAUCGACCCAAGAAGCAACGGCUAACUACGUGCCAGCAGCCGCGGUAAUAC